AAAGCCCCCGGCUCACCGGGGAGGUCAUUGGAAACUGGGAACUUGAGUGCAGAAGAGGAGAGUGGAAUUCCACGUGUAGCGGUGAAAUGCGUAGAGAUGUGGAGGAACACCAGUGGCGAAGGCGACUCUCUGGUCUGUAACUGACGCUGAGGAGCGAAAGCGUGGGGAGCGAACAGGAUUAGAUACCCUGGUAGUCACGCCGUAAACGAUGAGUGCUAAGUGUUAGGGGGUUUCCGCCCCUUAGAUGCUGCAGCUAACGCAUUAAGCACUCCGCCUGGGGAGUACGGUCGCAAGACUGAAACUCAAAGGAAUUGACGGGGGCCCGCACAAGCGGUGGAGCAUGUGGUUUAAUUCGAAGCAACGCGAAGAACCUUACCAGGUCUUGACAUCCUCUGACAAUCCUAGAGAUAGGACGUCCCCUUCGGGGGCAGAGUGACAGGUGGUGCAUGGUUGUCGUCAGCUCGUGUCGUGAGAUGUUGGGUUAAGUCCCGCAACGAGCGCAACCCUUGAUCUUAGUUGCCAGCAUUCAGUUGGGCACUCUAAGGUGACUGCCGGUGACAAACCGGAGGAAGGUGGGGAUGACGUCAAAUCAUCAUGCCCCUUAUGACCUGGGCUACACACGUGCUACAAUGGACAGAACAAAGGGCAGCGAAACCGCGAGGUUAAGCCAAUCCCACAAAUCUGUUCUCAGUUCGGAUCGCAGUCUGCAACUCGACUGCGUGAAGCUGGAAUCGCUAGUAAUCGCGGAUCAGCAUG
rnacentral:rRNA from 2 species